GCCACACUUGUGCGAUGUUGUGAUCUUCCAGUAAUUUAAAUAAUAAGUUAAAGAUUUAUUUGUUAUAUGAGUAAUUUUCUUUCUCCAAACCCACAGCUGUUUUCACAGGGUCAGCCAGGGGCAAAAGGAAAAAGUCUGGGGGACCAAGGCAUAUGCCUGAAAGAAAAAGGCCACAAAAGAAUUGCUCCUACCACACUCGCCUAGAGGCUUUCCCCAUCAGGAGUGUUGUAAAAGAAAGAGUGAGAAAGGGCAAAGCAGAAAUGUUGGUUGACUGGGAGCCCUGUCCAGUAUGAUUAAACAAGCCUUUUAACAAGUGUAAAGCACACAUCAUUACUA